rnacentral:rRNA from 1 species
CCCAGACUCCUACGGGAGGCAGCAGUGGGGAAUAUUGGGCAAUGGAGGAAACUCUUACCCAGCAAUGCCGCGUGAAUGAAGAAGGUCUUCGGGUUGUAAAGUUCUUUAAUUGGGGACGAAAAAAAUGACGGUACCCAAGGAAUAAGCCACGGCUAACUACGUGCCAGCAGCCGCGGUAAUACGUAGGUGGCAAGCGUUGUCCGGAUUUACUGGGUGUAAAGGGCGUGUAGCCGGGUUGACAAGUCAGAUGUGAAAUCCUGCGGCUUAACCGCAGAACUGCAUUUGAAACUGUUGAUCUUGAGUACUGGAGAGGCAGACGGAAUUCCUAGUGUAGCGGUGAAAUGCGUAGAUAUUAGGAGGAACACCAGUGGCGAAGGCGGUCUGCUGGACAGCAACUGACGGUGAGGCGCGAAAGCGUGGGGAGCAAACAGGAUUAGAUACCCCUGUA